UCCCGCCGCCUGGCUUUCCUUUCCCUGAGUUUACAUUCACUCCACCCUUUCCAACAUUUACAGCAGUUCCUCCAGGCUUUCCUUUCCCAGAGUUUACAUUCACUCCACCCUUUCCUACAUUGACAGCAGUUCCUCCUGGCUUUCCUUUUCCUGCAUCAACAUCCACUCCACCCUUCCCUACAUUUACAGCAGUUCCUCCUGGCUUUCCUUUUCCUGCAUCGACAUUUACACCACCCUUCCCUACAGCAACAGAAGUGCUCUUGUCCUCCACCAAGUCUG
rnacentral:lncRNA from 1 species